rnacentral:rRNA from 1 species
CGGCUGAACCAGCAACUUGCAGAUGUACAGCAAUAGCUAUUUGCACUAAAAAUGUUUAGUGUGAAAUCGACUAUGUCGAAUAAAAUUCUGGGUAGAAUUAUGAUAAUGACAUUAGCUAUUCAUAAGUCUUGACCAAAUUACGUGCCAGCAGUCGCGGCAAUACGUAGAAGCCAAGUGUUAUUCAUCUUUAAUAGGUUUAAAGGGUACUUAGACGGUAAAUAAAGCCUUUAAAGGGUACUAGUUUGCUAGAGUUUUAUAUGAAGGGGUUUUAAAGUACUGCUGGUGUAGAGAUGAAAUUCAGUUAUACCUUACAUGGCACAGGUUAAGGCGAAGGCAUCUUCUUAUGUAAAAACUGACGUUGAAGGACGAAGGCUUUGUGUCUCGAACAGGAUUAGAUACCCUAGUAGUCUAAGCAGAAAAUGAUGAAUGUCAUAGAUUAGAUGUAAUUUGAUCUAUAAAUGAAAGUGUAAGCAUUCCACCUCAAGAGUAAUUUGGCAACAUUGGAACUGAAAUCAUUAGACCGUUUCUGAAACCAGUAGUGUUGUAUGUUGUUUAAUUUGAUAAUCCGCAAAAAACCUUACCACAACUUGAAUAGAUAUAUUUUAUCAUACAAGCGUUGCACGGCUGUCUUUAGUUAAUGUCGUGAGACUUUGGUUAGUUCCAUUAAAUUAACGUAAACCCUUACUUUAUUUUUAUAUAAAGUAGUUCACCGCUAUAUUGGAUGUGAUAACAGGGAUCAAGACAAGUCAUCAUGGCCUAAAUAUUGU